rnacentral:tRNA from 1 species
GAUGUGAGGACUGCAGGAGCAGGCUACUCCGAUAUAGUAGAUAGUGGGUUUUACCCCCACAUUA